rnacentral:rRNA from 1 species
GACAGAGGAUGCAAGCGUUAUCCGGAAUUACUGGGCGUAAAGCGCACGUAGGCGGCUUUCUAAGUCGGGGGUGAAAUCCUGGAGCUCAACUCCAGAACUGCCUUCGAUACUGGAAGCUCGAGUCCGGGAGAGGUGAGUGGAACUGCGAGUGUAGAGGUGAAAUCCGUAGAUAUUCGCAAGAACACCAGUGGCGAAGGCGGCUCACUGGCCCGGUACUGACGCUGAGGUGCGAAAGCGUGGGGAGCAAACAGG